CUGCCUUGAAAUGGAUGCAAAAUCGGCUCAAAAUAUGCAAGUCGUGGCAGAUUUGGAAAUAGAAAUGAUGACAGAUCUUUUUAAUAAAUAGAUGUGUUGCAAAAUAUUUGGAUAUACAUGAAAGAAUAGGGAAAAAACUGACUGCAAUGUCAGCUCAAGAUGAACAACUUAUGGGACAAAUGCAAUCAAGAUAGCAGUGAAUGAUUGAUGGAUUUAUGAACUAUUAAAACUAAUAUAUAGUGAAACC